rnacentral:rRNA from 1 species
UACGUAGGGUGCAAGCGUUGUCCGGAAUUACUGGGCGUAAAGCGCGCGUAGGCGGCUUUGUAAGUUAGAGGUGAAAGCCCGGAGCUCAACUCCGGAACUGCCUUUAAGACUGCAUCGCUUGAAUCCAGGAGAGGUGAGUGGAAUUCCGAGUGUAGAGGUGAAAUUCGUAGAUAUUCGGAAGAACACCAGUGGCGAAGGCGGCUCACUGGACUGGUAUUGACGCUGAGGUGCGAAAGCGUGGGGAGCAAACAGG